ACGAACGCUGGCGGCGUGCUUAACACAUGCCAGUCGCACGGAAAGGCCCUGCUUUUGUGGGGUGCUCGAGCGGCGAACGGGUGAGUAACACGUGAGUAACCUGCCCUUGACUUUGGGAUAACUUCAGGAAACUGGGGCUAAUACCGGAUAGGAGCUCCUGCUGCAUGGUGGGGGUUGGAAAGUUUCGGCGGUUGGGGAUGGACUCGCGGCUUAUCAGCUUGUUGGUGGGGUAGUGGCUUACCAAGGCUUUGACGGGUAGCCGGCCUGAGAGGGUGACCGGCCACAUUGGGACUGAGAUACGGCCCAGACUCCUACGGGAGGCAGCAGUGGGGAAUAUUGCACAAUGGGCGGAAGCCUGAUGCAGCAACGCCGCGUGCGGGAUGACGGCCUUCGGGUUGUAAACCGCUUUCGCCUGUGACGAAGCGUGAGUGACGGUAAUGGGUAAAGAAGCACCGGCUAACUACGUG
rnacentral:rRNA from 1 species